AGAGUUUGAUUCUGUCUCAGAAUGAACGCUGGCGGCGUGCUUAACACAUGCAAGUCGUACGAGAACGUCUUAGCUUGCUAAGAUUAGUAAAGUGGCGCACGGGUGAGUAACGCGUGGAUAAUCUACCUUCGAAUCGGGGAUAACAUUGCGAAAGCGAUGCUAAUACCGGAUAAUAUCUAUGGUUCUUCGGGACCUUAGAUCAAAGAUGGCCUCUACUUGUAAGCUAUUGUUUGAAGAUGAGUCCGCGUCCCAUUAGCUUGUUGGUGGGGUAAUGGCCUACCAAGGCAACGAUGGGUAGCUGGUCUGAGAGGAUGAUCAGCCACACUGGAACUGACACACGGUCCAGACUCCUACGGGAGGCAGCAGUGAGGAAUUUUGCGCAAUGGGGGAAACCCUGACGCAGCAACGCCGCGUGAGUGAUGAAGGCUUUCGGGUCGUAAAGCUCUGUCAAGUGGAAGAAAAUAUAUAAAGCCGAUACCUUUAUGUACUGACGGUACCACUGAAGGAAGCACCGGCUAACUCCGUGCCAGCAGCCGCGGUAACACGGGGGGUGCAAGCGUUAUUCGGAUUCACUGGGCGUAAAGAGCGCGUAGGCGGCCAGGUAAGUCAGAUGUGAAAGCCCGGGGCUCAACCCUGGAAGUGCAUCUGAAACUGCUUGGCUUGAGUAUGGGAGAGGGUAGUGGAAUUCCUGGUGUAGAGGUGAAAUUCGUAGAUAUCAGGAGGAACACCGGUGGCGAAGGCGGCUACCUGGACCAAUACUGACGCUGAGGCGCGAAGGCGUGGGGAGCAAACAGGAUUAGACACCCUGGUAGUCCACGCAGUAAACGUUGUUCACUAGGUGUAGCGGGUAUUGACCCCUGCUGUGCCGCAGCUAACGCAUUAAGUGAACCGCCUGGGAAGUACGGCCGCAAGGCUAAAACUCAAAGAAAUUGACGGGGGCCCGCACAAGCGGUGGAGCAUGUGGUUUAAUUCGACGCAACGCGAAGAACCUUACCUGGAUUUGACAUCCCGGGAAUUCUAUCGAAAGACUGAAGUGCCCUUCGGGGAACCCGGUGACAGGUGCUGCAUGGCUGUCGUCAGCUCGUGUCGUGAGAUGUUGGGUUAAGUCCCGCAACGAGCGCAACCCCUGUCUUUAGUUGCCAGCAUUUAGUUGGGGACUCUAAAGAUACCGCCCCGGUUAACGGGGAGGAAGGUGGGGAUGACGUCAAGUCCUCAUGGCCUUUAUGUCCAGGGCUACACACGUGCUACAAUGGGCUGUACAGAGGGUAGCGAUGCCGCGAGGUGGAGCCAAUCCCAAAAAGCAGUCCCAAGUUCGGAUUGGAGUCUGCAACUCGACUCCAUGAAGUUGGAAUCGCUAGUAAUCGCGGAUCAGCAUGCCGCGGUGAAUACGUUCCCGAGCCUUGUACACACCGCCCGUCACACCAUGAGAGUUGAUUGUACCGGAAGUUGUUGGGCCAACCUUUCGAGGAGGCAGGCACCUAUGGUAUGAUUGAUGAUUGGGGUGAAGUCGUAACAAGGUA
rnacentral:rRNA from 1 species